AACGAACGCUGGCGGCAUGCCUAACACAUGCAAGUCGAACGAGACCUUCGGGUCUAGUGGCGCACGGGUGCGUAACGCGUGGGAACCUGCCCUUAGGUUCGGAAUAACUCCCCGAAAGGGGUGCUAAUACCGGAUAAUGUCUUCGGACCAAAGAUUUAUCGCCUUUGGAUGGGCCCGCGUUGGAUUAGCUAGUUGGUAGGGUAAAAGCCUACCAAGGCGACGAUCCAUAGCUGGUCUGAGAGGAUGAUCAGCCACACUGGGACUGAGACACGGCCCAGACUCCUACGGGAGGCACCAGUGGGGAAUAUUGGACAAUGGGCGAAAGCCUGAUCCAGCAAUGCCGCGUGAGUGAUGAAGGCCUUAGGGUUGUAAAGCUCUUUUACCCGGGAUGAUAAUGACAGUACCGGGAGAAUAAGCUCCGGCUAACUCCGUG
rnacentral:rRNA from 1 species